rnacentral:rRNA from 1 species
CAUAGGUUAAUGAGGCGAACCGGGGGAACUGAAACAUCUAAGUACCCCGAGGAAAAGAAAUCAACCGAGAUUCCCCCAGUAGCGGCGAGCGAACGGGGAGCAGCCCAGAGCCUGAAUCAGUAUGUGUGUUAGUGGAAGCGUCUGGAAAGGCGCGCGAUACAGGGUGACAGCCCCGUACACAAAAAUGCACAUGCUGUGAGCUCGAUGAGUAGGGCGGGACACGUGGUAUCCUGUCUGAAUAUGGGGGGACCAUCCUCCAAGGCUAAAUACUCCUGACUGACCGAUAGUGAACCAGUACCGUGAGGGAAAGGCGAAAAGAACCCCGGCGAGGGGAGUGAAAAAGAACCUGAAACCGUGUACGUACAAGCAGUGGGAGCACGCUUAGGCGUGUGACUGCGUACCUUUUGUAUAAUGGGUCAGCGACUUAUAUUCUGUAGCAAGGUUAACCGAAUAGGGGAGCCGAAGGGAAACCGAGUCUUAACUGGGCGUUAAGUUGCAGGGUAUAGACCCGAAACCCGGUGAUCUAGCCAUGGGCAGGUUGAAGGUUGGGUAACACUAACUGGAGGACCGAACCGACUAAUGUUGAAAAAUUAGCGGAUGACUUGUGGCUGGGGGUGAAAGGCCAAUCAAACCGGGAGAUAGCUGGUUCUCCCCGAAAGCUAUUUAGGUAGCGCCUCGUGAAUUCAUCUCCGGGGGUAGAGCACUGUUUCGGCAAGGGGGUCAUCCCGACUUACCAACCCGAUGCAAACUGCGAAUACCGGAGAAUGUUAUCACGGGAGACACACGGCGGGUGCUAACGUCCGUCGUGAAGAGGGAAACAACCCAGACCGCCAGCUAAGGUCCCAAAGUCAUGGUUAAGUGGGAAACGAUGUGGGAAGGCCCAGACAGCCAGGAUGUUGGCUUAGAAGCAGCCAUCAUUUAAAGAAAGCGUAAUAGCUCACUGGUCGAGUCGGCCUGCGCGGAAGAUGUAACGGGGCUAAACCAUGCACCGAAGCUGCGGCAGCGACGCUGAUGCGUUGUUGGGUAGGGGAGCGUUCUGUAAGCCUGCGAAGGUGUGCUGUGAGGCAUGCUGGAGGUAUCAGAAGUGCGAAUGCUGACAUAAGUAACGAUAAAGCGGGUGAAAAGCCCGCUCGCCGGAAGACCAAGGGUUCCUGUCCAACGUUAAUCGGGGCAGGGUGAGUCGACCCCUAAGGCGAGGCCGAAAGGCGUAGUCGAUGGGAAACAGGUUAAUAUUCCUGUACUUGGUGUUACUGCGAAGGGGGGACGGAGAAGGCUAUGUUGGCCGGGCGACGGUUGUCCCGGUUUAAGCGUGUAGGCUGGUUUUCCAGGCAAAUCCGGAAAAUCAAGGCUGAGGCGUGAUGACGAGGCACUGCGGUGCUGAAGCAACAAA